GCCUGGCUGGCUCAGUUGGUUGAGCAUCUGACUUCGGCUCAGGUAGUGAUUUUGCAGUUCGUGGGUUCAAGCCCCACAUCGGGCU